UUCGACGGCGGAACAGCUCACUCCUGAGAGGCACCUCCAACGGACUCGACUUCUAGCUCUGGGGUGGGAAAGUUAAGCAAGGCUGAGUACAAACCACCGUACUCAACAAGUAACACGGACAAGGGGAAAACAAAUGAUGCAUAGGGAUUAACAAGGACAGGCUAGGGUUAGUUGCAAAGAAAAGCAGCAGUUAAACAAGUAACAGAGAUUAAAA
rnacentral:lncRNA from 1 species